rnacentral:lncRNA from 1 species
CGUGUUGCGUUACAAUAGCUAAGCCGCCAACCGCCAGCGCAAUUUGGUAGCAAAACAACCCGGCUGCGAAACCCCCUCCCAACACCAACCCAUUGAGAAAGUUGCACUAGUGGCCGAUAGUGCUGGCAGUUACCUGUGUUGCACCGUUAACGAAUCCUAGGACCUCAAGGGCCCCGGCAAGGGCCGAAGAGCCACACGAGGCCCGCUGCGACAAAACCAGGGACCGCUGCAUUGUGGCAACCCCCGGGAUUGCCCUGUGUGGGUGGGGGAUACGACGAGGCACAGACGAUUGAUGAGAAUAAGAACAUAGACGGGUACUCCAAGAUUAGACCAAUAAUACAGGACGAUCAGUAAGAUACUGACCCGUUGGUGGGUGAGGGGAAACUAGAGGACACUGUCCCAGCAGCGGGACACACCUCAUGGUGAUAGCCAGAACAGCGGCAGUUAGAGAAGCAAUGCGCCUGUGGGACCCAAGUAGAAGCUUUUGGAGUCCCCUGCCGUAUUGUGGUCCGGCACAUGCAUGCAUGCGCCCUGCUUCCACGCACCACGGCAGUUCCUUCGCAAUAACUUGCGUAUCGAUACACUCAUACUUCGCUUCGAGAAGUCAAAGCUGCACCAGAUCCCUAAAAGGGGUUAGUAGUGGAGGGGUUUUGCGGCGCCUAAUAGCAUUCUGUAGUAUCCAACCUUGAUGACCUUGGACUCUUGGUUGCAUGAAAAUUUGGCAAACUUGGCAACUGCAAUCAACAUCCAGUGCUUCCGACAGGUACCUUCUAUAAACAGGACAAAAGGCAGCACGCGGAAACACCAUAGUUCAGCUACAGCGAGCCGUGGGCCAGCUGCAGUAGCUGCAAUGCCCAGGAUUUGCAGAACUAACAUGUAACAUGAUCAAGAACCGGUAAUAACGUCAGAGCUGGCGUUGUCGCGGAGAACCAACGCAGGAGGAAUUCUUACAGUUUCGGCCAAACGCCAUGCAUUCUGCCAGGCGAAUAUACAUUUGUGUUAAAAUGUGAUAUUUGGAUGUUGCAUCGAAAGCGAGGCGUCGGAGUUGCUCACGGAGUUGAUUCUGUUGGAGACCUUACCCUCAGGCAGGACACUCAACACCCUUCCAGGCCACAAGUAAAAAUUUGGUACAAACUGACGCAGCUCUUCUG